rnacentral:rRNA from 1 species
UACGUGAGGGUGCAAGCGUUGUCCGGAAUUACUGGGCGUAAAGCGCACGUAGGCGGCUUUGUAAGUAAGAGGUGAAAGCCCAGAGCUCAACUCUGGAAUUGCCUUUUAGACUGCAUCGCUUGAAUCAUGGAGAGGUCAGUGGAAUUCCGAGUGUAGAGGUGAAAUUCGUAGAUAUUCGGAAGAACACCAGUGGCGAAGGCGGCUGACUGGACAUGUAUUGACGCUGAGGUGCGAAAGCGUGGGGAGCAAACAGG